UGAGGGAUAUUGCACAAUGGGGGAAACCCUGAUGCAGCGACGCCGCGUGAGCGAUGAAGGCCUUCGGGUCGUAAAGCUCUUUUCUGUGUGACGAGCAAGGACGGUAGCACAGGAAUAAGUCUCGGCUAACUACGUG
rnacentral:rRNA from 1 species